UACGGAGGGGGCGAGCGUUAUUCGGAAUUACUGGGCGUAAAGCGCGCGUAGGCGGCUUUGUAAGUUAGAGGUGAAAGCCCGGAGCUUAACUCCGGAACUGCCUUUAAGACUGCAUCGCUAGAAUUGUGGAGAGGUAAGUGGAAUUCCGAGUGUAGAGGUGAAAUUCGUAGAUAUUCGGAAGAACACCAGUGGCGAAGGCGACUUACUGGACACAUAUUGACGCUGAGGUGCGAAAGCGUGGGGAGCAAACAGG
rnacentral:rRNA from 1 species